CCUACGGGAGGCAGCAGUGGGGAAUAUUGCACAAUGGGGGAAACCCUGAUGCAGCGACGCCGCGUGAGUGAAGAAGUAUUUCGGUACGUAAAGCUCUAUCAGCAGGGAAGAAAAUGACGGUACCUGACUAAGAAGCCCCGGCUAAAUACGUGCCAGCAGCCGCGGUAAUACGUAGGGGGCAAGCGUUAUCCGGAUGUACUGGGUGUAAAGGGAGCGUAGACGGCAGCGCAAGUCUGGAGUGAAAUCCCAUGGCUUAACCAUGGAACUGCUUGGGAAACUGUGCAGCUAGAGUGCAGGAGAGGUAAGCGGAAUUCCUAGUGUAGCGGUGAAAUGCGUAGAUAUUAGGAGGAACACCAGUGGCGAAGGCGGCUUACUGGACUGUAACUGACGUUGAGGCUCGAAAGCGUGGGGAGCAAACAGGAUUAGAUACCCUUGUAGUC
rnacentral:rRNA from 1 species